UCCUUUCUACAGCACAACAUUUUUUAAAACAGUCCCCUACUUCAGGGUAAAGUUGUCAAGUUGUUUCUUAAAAAAACUUCGAGAUUGGAAUGGAAAAGCUGUUUAUUUUAAAAUUAAAGCAUAUGAUAUUUUAUUGUUUUUUUAAACAAUAUAUAUAUUAUGCUUUAUUUUAUUCUAACUGAACACACAUGCACUAGACAAGCAAAAUCGUGAAGUUAUUUUUAGGGAGACAAAGAAAUUUAAAUGGCAACACUCAAAAUAAGUUGUCACUGUUUCAAUCCAAUUUGUAAUGAAAUGGUUUUGUAAUAAAUCUUUUUUUUGAUUUGAUUCUAAAUGUAGAAAUUUGAUUAGAUACAUACCUAUGAACGUCACUUGCGACUUUGUCUUGCAGGCACAAAAUAGUGAAUUCAACUAAAGCAAAGCUAAAGCUAUUGAAAUGAAUUUCCGGUUUGGGAAUCAGUGAUGAAAAUUGCAUGCGAAUGGAUUAUCACUUCAGGAACCAGUCUCUAGCUACUAGAAGUAACAAUAUAGUAUGGGGCAGGACAAUGAGAUGAGAUAUGGUCAAUGCAUCUCAUUACCCAAUUAAAAUAUUUUGAGGUAAAAAUGGUAUCCAUUUUUAUACCUGCCUCAAUGGAUACAGACACAAGCUACGAAAAUCUUUUUAAUAGCAAUAAAUCCUCAUAAAAAAGAAA